rnacentral:rRNA from 1 species
UACGUAGGUGGCAAGCGUUAUCCGGAUUUACUGGGUGUAAAGGGCGUGUAGGCGGGAGUGCAAGUCAGAUGUGAAAACCACAGGCUCAACCUGUGGCCUGCAUUUGAAACUGUACUUCUUGAGUACUGGAGAGGCAGACGGAAUUCCUAGUGUAGCGGUGAAAUGCGUAGAUAUUAGGAGGAACACCAGUGGCGAAGGCGGUCUGCUGGACAGCAACUGACGCUGAGGCGCGAAAGCGUGGGGAGCAAACAGG